GUGCUCACUUCGGCAGCACAUAUACUAAAAUUGGAACGAUACAGAGAAGAUUAGCAUGGCCCCUGUGCAAAGAAUGACACGCAAAUUCUUGAAGAGUUCCAUAUUUUU
rnacentral:snRNA from 13 species